GUCAGGAUGGCCGAGCGGUCUAAGGCGCUACGUUCAGGUCGCUAGUCUCCCCUGGAGGCGUGGGUUCGAAUCCCACUUCUGACA